rnacentral:rRNA from 1 species
GGACUCCUACGGGACGCAGCAGUGGGGAAUAUUGCACAAUGGGGGAAACCCUGAUGCAGCGACGCCGCGUGAGCGAUGAAGUAUCUCGGUAUGUAAAGCUCUAUCAGCAGGGAAGAAAGUGACAGUACCUGACUAAGAAGCCCCGGCUAACUACGUGCCAGCAGCCGCGGUAAUACGUAGGGGGCAAGCGUUAUCCGGAUUUACUGGGUGUAAAGGGAGCGUAGGUGGCAGGGCAAGUCAGAUGUGAAAACCCGGGGCUCAACUCCGGGAGUGCAUUUGAAACUGUCCAGCUAGAGUGCAGGAGG